rnacentral:tRNA from 1 species
GGAGGAGUGCCAGAGCGGCCGAAUGGGGGCGUCUCGAAAACGUCUUGGCGGUUAAUAGCUGUCACGUGGGUUCAAAUCCCACCUCCUCCGCCA